rnacentral:rRNA from 1 species
UACGAAGGGGGCUAGCGUUGCUCGGAAUCACUGGGCGUAAAGGGUGCGUAGGCGGGUCUUUAAGUCAGGGGUGAAAUCCUGGAGCUCAACUCCAGAACUGCCUUUGAUACUGAAGAUCUUGAGUUCGGGAGAGGUGAGUGGAACUGCGAGUGUAGAGGUGAAAUUCGUAGAUAUUCGCAAGAACACCAGUGGCGAAGGCGGCUCACUGGACCGGAACUGACGCUCAUGCACGAAAGCGUGGGGAGCAAACAGG